CCAUUACAGCAAACAUGCGUCCUGUGAUGAUUUUUGCUUUAUUAUUCUUGCUGGUAAUCAAUAUUAGGGGUACAGAGCUCCAUUUAAGGGGUUCUAAAGGUGAUGCUUCCAUACAAGAGAGACAAUGGAAAAAGGGCGACGGAGGUUUGGCUUCAUCACCAGAUAAACGUUUUAAAGGAGGAUUGAACGAUCCAGAAAAAAGAUAUUAUGGAGGUGGAAAAAAAUAAUGAAAAGAAUGGACCACUAUAUCACCAGCUCAAAGUACCCAUGAAUAAGGGAAGAUAAUAUAGUGUGUUACGUGUUUCGUAAUAUGUAUUAGUAUUUAGAUGAACUAAAUAAAUACCAUGAACAUA